rnacentral:rRNA from 1 species
UGGGGAAUAUUGCACAAUGGGCGCAAGCCCGAUGCAGCAACGCCGCGUGAGGGAUGACGGCCUUCGGGUUGUAAACCUCUUUUAGUAGGGAAGAAGCGAAAGUGACGGUACCUGCAGAAAAAGCACCGGCUAACUACGUGCCAGCAGCCGCGGUAAUACGUAGGGUGCGAGCGUUGUCCGGAAUUAUUGGGCGUAAAGAGCUCGUAGGCGGUCUGUCGCGUCUGCUGUGAAAACCCGAGGCUCAACCUCGGGCCUGCAGUGGGUACGGGCAGACUAGAGUGCGGUAGGGGAGAAUGGAAUUCCUGGUGUAGCGGUGGAAUGCGCAGAUAUCAGGAGGAACACCGAUGGCGAAGGCAGUUCUCUGGGCCGUAACUGACGCUGAGGAGCGAAAGCGUGGGGAGCGAACAGGAUUAGAUACCCUGGUAGUCCACGCCGUAAACGUUGGGCGCUAGAUGUGGGGACCAUUCCACGGUUUCCGUGUCGCAGCUAACGCAUUAAGCGCCCGCCUGGGGAGUACGGCCGCAAGGCUAAAACU